rnacentral:rRNA from 1 species
CUACGUGCCAGCAGCCGCGGUAAUACGUAGGUCCCGAGCGUUAUCCGGAUUUAUUGGGCGUAAAGCGAGCGCAGGCGGUUAGAUAAGUCUGAAGUUAAAGGCUGUGGCUUAACCAUAGUACGCUUUGGAAACUGUUUAACUUGAGUGCAGAAGGGGAGAGUGGAAUUCCAUGUGUAGCGGUGAAAUGCGUAGAUAUAUGGAGGAACACCGGUGGCGAAAGCGGCUCUCUGGUCUGUAACUGACGCUGAGGCUCGAAAGCGUGGGGAGCAAACAGGAUUAGAUACCCUGGUAGUCCACGCCGUAAACGAUGAGUGCUAGGUGUUGGGUCCUUUCCGGGACUCAGUGCCGCAGCUAACGCAUUAAGCACUCCGCCUGGGGAGUACGACCGCAAGGUUGAAACUCAAAGGAAUUGACGGGGGCCCGCACAAGCAGUGGAGCAUGUGGUUUAAUUCGAAGCAACGCGAAGAACCUUACCAGGUCUUGACAUCCC